GUUGAACGCUGGCGGCAGGCUUAACACAUGCAAGUCGAGCGGGGGAAGGUAGCUUGCUACUGGACCUAGCGGCGGACGGGUGAGUAAUGCUUAGGAAUCUGCCUAUUAGUGGGGGACAACAUCUCGAAAGGGAUGCUAAUACCGCAUACGUCCUACGGGAGAAAGCAGGGGAUCUUCGGACCUUGCGCUAAUAGAUGAGCCUAAGUCGGAUUAGCUAGUUGGUGGGGUAAAGGCCUACCAAGGCGACGAUCUGUAGCGGGUCUGAGAGGAUGGUCCGCCACACUGGGACUGAGACACGGCCCAGACUCCUACGGGAGGCAGCAGUGGGGAAUAUUGGACAAUGGGGGGAACCCUGAUCCAGCCAUGCCGCGUGUGUGAAGAAGGCCUUAUGGUUGUAAAGCACUUUAAGCGAGGAGGAGGCUACUUUAGUUAAUACCUAGAGAUAGUGGACGUUACUCGCAGAAUAAGCACCGGCUAACUCUGUGCCAGCAGCCGCGGUAA
rnacentral:rRNA from 1 species